rnacentral:rRNA from 1 species
GACGAACGCUGGCGGCAUGCCUAAUACAUGCAAGUCGAGCGGACUUGAUGAGAAGCUUGCUUCUCAGAUAGUUAGCGGCGGACGGGUGAGUAACACGUAGGCAACCUGCCCUCAAGCUUGGGACAACUACCGGAAACGGUAGCUAAUACCGAAUACUUGUUUUCUUCGCCUGAAGGAAACUGGAAAGACGGAGUAAUCUGUCACUUGGGGAUGGGCCUGCGGCGCAUUAGCUAGUUGGUGAGGUAACGGCUCACCGAGGCGACGAUGCGUAGCCGACCUGAGAGGGUGAUCGGCCACACUGGGACUGAGACACGGCCCAGACUCCUACGGGAGGCAGCAGUAGGGAAUCUUCCGCAAUGGGCGAAAGCCUGACGGAGCAAUGCCGCGUGAGUGAUGAAGGUUUUCGGAUCGUAAAGCUCUGUUGCCAGGGAAGAACGCUUGGGAGAGUAACUGCUCCCAAGGUGACGGUACCUGAGAAGAAAGCCCCGGCUAACUACGUGCCAGCAGCCGCCGUAA